CCUACGGGUGGCUGCAGUGGGGAAUUUUGGACAAUGGGCGCAAGCCUGAUCCAGCCAUGCCGCGUGAGGGAAGAAGGCCUUCGGGUUGUAAACCUCUUUCGGCCGGGACGAAAUCGGCGGGGUGAAUAAUCCCGCUGGAUGACGGUACCGGAAGAAGAAGCACCGGCUAACUACGUGCCAGCAGCCGCGGUAAUACGUAGGGUGCGAGCGUUAAUCGGAAUUACUGGGCGUAAAGCGUGCGCAGGCGGUUAUUUAAGCCAGACGUGAAAUCCCCG
rnacentral:rRNA from 1 species